AGUCAAUAGAUACCCAGGUAGUCCAUGCCGUAAACGAUGAUUGCUAGGUGUGGGGGGUCUGACCCCUUCCGUGCCGGAGUUAAACACAAUAAGCAAUCCACCUGGGGAGUACGGCCGCAAGGUUGAAACUCAAAGGAAUUGACGGGGGCCCGCACAAGCAGUGGAGUAUGUGGUUUAAAUUCGAAGCAACGCGAAGAACCUUACCAGGUCUUGACAUCCACCGAAUCCUGUAGAGAUACGGGAGUGCCCUUCGGGGAGCGGUGAGACAGGUGGUGCAUGGUUGUCGUCAGCUCGUGUCGUGAGAUGUUGGGUUAAGUCCCGCAACGAGCGCAACCCUUGUGAAUAGUUGCUACGAAAGAGCACUCUAUUCAGACCGCCGUUGACAAAACGGAGGAAGGUGGGGAUGACGUCAAAUCAUCAUGCCCCUUAUGACCUGGGCUACACACGUACUACAAUGGUCGUCAACAGAGGGAAGCAAGACCGCGAGGUGGAGCGAACCCCUAAAAACGAUCUCAGUUCAGAUUGCAGGCUGAAACUCG
rnacentral:rRNA from 1 species